AGGACGAACGCUGGCGGCGUGCUUAACACAUGCAAGUCGUAGCGGAAAGGCCCUUCGGGGUACUCGAGCGGACGAACGGGUGAGUAACACGUGAGUAACCUGCCCUGGACUUUGGGAUAACCCUCGGAAACGGGGGCUAAUACCGGAUACGACGCACUCUCGCAUGGGAUGUGUGUGGAAAGUUUUUCGGUUGGGAUGGGCUCGCGGACUAUCAGCUUGUUGGUGGGGUGAUGGCCUACCAAGGCGACGACGGUUA
rnacentral:rRNA from 1 species